GCCCCGGACAGCCCCGGACAGCCCCGGACACCGCGCCCGCCCUCCCGAAUUGUUUGGUGACAGUUUUUAAUGUGUAACUGAGCAGCAGAGCAGCUUCCAGGGAGCCCUGCAGCAUUCCCAGGUCUGGGAUUUUCUACAAAAAAACCUGCAAAGCCAGGAGGGUGAGAUUUCCAAAGGGUUAGGAUGGUUUCCAGAGCAUCCAUGUGAGAGGAAAAGUGGAUUUGUCUUUCCAAACAAGCUACUGGUAGAUAAAACCAGCACUGGGAGAUAAAAGAAACAAUGGGAAGGAUUCCACUGAUUGAUGAAUGGAAAAAGGAAAAGCUCUGAAGGACCAACCUGGCUCCAUCCCAAAGCAGGUCCCACCUCAGAGCCCUGUGCUGGUCCAGUGUGGGAUCUCCUCUGCUGAGAGAUUCUCUCCUUUCCAUUUUUCAUGGAUAUUGGCACCAAACUGUGUGCAGGAUGAGAGCCAGAUGGACAUCUCUUUGAUUAAAUCAAAAAUACAGUCUGAGAAACGUAAUUAAAUUAAAAAUACACGCUUCCAGGUGGAAGGCAGGCAGCCUUUCUCUUGAGGAGACGAGGCACAGAAAGUUCUGACAUCUCAGUGGUAGGAGAUUCUUUUUCAUUCUUUUUUUAGGAGAUUCAUCUUAGUGUUAGGAAGUGUUUUCAUUACAAAGAAGCUUUUUCCUUUUGUUGCUGACACGAAGUUGUGGAGGAAGAAAUGAAGAGCUUGGAGGGUUUGUGCCACGCCACACUGACUUUGGAGUUGUCCAUUCACUCUCUAUAAAUAUUUCUCCCACCACACUGCCCAUCUCACUGGGUUACUGUCACAUCAGUUCUGGCCAGAUUUUGUGAAAAAUCUGCAAUAAAGUUGGUGAAGAGAGGAAAUAUAUUAAGCAAGCUCUAAAUACACAGAUUAUACACAAAAUAAAAGAGAUUUCCUAACAGG